rnacentral:rRNA from 1 species
ACCCAAGGUUUCCUGGGCACGGUUCGUCCUCCCAGGGUUAGUCGGGAGCUAAGGCUAGGUCAUACGACGUAGUCGAUGCACAAACGGUUAAUAUUCCGUUACCCUGACGGCUCUAUCCGGCCAUGACGCAAGAGCGAGAACAGGUAAGUCAUUGAAAGACCGAGCCUAGGCGAAAGCCGAAGCGUGCUGUUCAGAGUCUUGCCGAGAAAAGUGGCCGGCGCUGGUCGUCGGGCCUGUACCGUAAACCGACACAGGUGGGUUGGUGGACUCUCCACUAUGGCGCGCGAAAGAAACCUCUCUAAGGAACUCUGCAAAUUAACCCCGUAACCUAGGGAAAAGGGGCGCUCACUUCAUGUGAGCCGCAGAGAAUUGCGUUUAGCGACUGUUUAACAAAAACACAGCACUCUGCCACGUCGUAAAGACUACGUAUAGGGUGUGACAAGUGACCAAUGCGGAAAGAUCAAGGCAAGGGGUUAGCCGCAAGGCGAAGCUCUGAACCUAAGUCCCCGUGAAUGUCGGCCGUAACUAUAACGGUCCUAAGGUAGCGAAAUUCCUUGUCGGGUAAGUUCCGACCUGCACGAAUCUUGUAACGACUGAACGACUGUCUCGGAGAGGCAUUCGGUGAAACUGUAAUUGCGGUGAAGAUGCCGCAUACCCGCAGUAGGACGGAAAGACCCUAUGCACCUUUACUGUAAGCUCGUAUUGGCUUCUGAUUGGCGAUGCUUAGUGUAGGUGGGAGACUCUGAAGGCGCUGCUCCGGUAGCGCUGGAGUCGCAAUGUGAAACACCACUCUUUGACAAUUAGGAGUCUAACCAUGAUCCUGUUAGCCAGGCAUGGAACAGUGCGUGCGGGUCAGUUUGGCUGGGGCGGCUUCCUCCCAAAUGGUAACGGAGGAGCGCGAAGCUUGGUUCAGCAUGGUUGGCAACCAUGCGUCGAGCGUAUGGGUAGAAGCCAGGUUAACUGCGAGACCUACAAGUCGAGCAGAUGCGAAAGCAGGCCCAAAUGAUCCGAUGGUAGAAUGUGGAAUUGCCAUCGCUCAACGGACAAAAGGUACGCUAGGGAUAACAGGCUGAUCGGAUCCAAGAGUUCACAUCGACGAUCCGGUUUGGCACCUCGAUGUCGGCUCAUCGCAUCCUGGGGCUGGAGAAGGUCCCAAGGGUCCGGCUGUUCGCCGGUUAAAGCGGUACGCGAGCUGGGUUCAGAACGUCGUGAGACAGUUCGGUCCUUAUCCACUGUGGGCGAAGGAAACUUGAGGGGUUCAUUCCCUAGUACGAGAGGACCGGGAAUGACGCACUUCUGGUGGUGCAGUUGUCGCGUCAGCGGCAGCGCUGCGUAGCCAUGUGCGGAAGAGAUAAGCGCUGAAAGCAUCUAAGUGCCAAGCUCAUCCCAAGAUAAGGUUUCCCGGGACGCAAGUCCCAUCAAAGACACCAGGCAGACCACCUGGUCGAUAGGUUGGGCGUGUAAAC